UACAGAGGGGGCAAGCGUUAUUCGGAAUUAUUGGGCGUAAAGGGCGCGUAGGCGGCCUGGCAAGUGGAAGGUGAAAUCCCUCGGCUUAACCGAGGAACUGCCUCCCAAACUGCUUGGCUUGAGACCGGGAGAGGUGAGUGGAAUUCCCAGUGUAGCGGUGAAAUGCGUAGAUAUCAAGUGGAACACCAGUGGCGAAGGCGAAUCCCUGGAAAAUACCUGACACUGAGGCACGAAAGCUAGGGGAGCAAACAGG
rnacentral:rRNA from 1 species